AGACCAGGGACGCGGCUAAAAGCUUGGUUUCAGCAGCGCACGCAGGUGGAAGGGUGUUGGGCACAUGGUCUAAAGGGCGGAAGGAAGAGUCAGAAUCGGCGUUGACAACAUGGGAUUAUGAGAGUCCGAAGUGCUCCGUGUUAUUUUUGAGAGAGAGAACAAGCAGGGAGAGCGGCAGGCAGAGGGAGAG